rnacentral:lncRNA from 1 species
UCACAGCUUCCAGGCAGCCCUUGAGGUCACUGAAGGCACCGCGAAAUGGACUGUUGAAUUUAUAAAGAAACAUGACUCAUGCCCAAAUCCUGAUCAUUACUUGCACCGUUUAGAUUCCGUCAACAAGGAUGUUAAUGCUUCCCUUCCUCCUAAGGAUGUUAAUGCUUACCUUCUUCCUAUUAACUAGGAACAGCACGACAGAACAUGCCCUUUGUUUAAGUGAAGCUAGCUAGUACGUACGUGGUACUGUGAAACAAACGCUUCAAAUUAAAGGUGCAUGUAAUUCCCAGGCCCUAAUAUAUAGUAUAGAGCACUUU